UGGGGGAUAUUGCACAAUGGGCGAAAGCCUGAUGCAGCGACGCCGCGUGGGGGAUGAAGGCUUUCGGGUUGUAAACCUCUUUCGCUAUCGAACAAGGCCCGCUUAGGGUGGGUUGAGGGUAGGUGGAGAAGAAGCGCCGGCUAACUACGUGCCAGCAGCCGCGGUAAUACGUAGGGCGCGAGCGUUGUCCGGAAUUAUUGGGCGUAAAGGGCUUGUAGGCGGCUUGUUGCGCCUGCUGUGAAAACGCGGGGCUUAACUUCGCGCGUGCAGUGGGGACGGGGAGGCUUGAGUGUGGUAGGGGUGACUGGAAUUCCAGGUGUAGCGGUGGAAUGCGCAGAUAUCUGGAGGAACACCGAUGGCGAAGGCAGGUCACUGGGCCAUUACUGACGCUGAGGAGCGAAAGCAUGGGUAGCGAACAGG
rnacentral:rRNA from 1 species